rnacentral:rRNA from 1 species
UACGUAGGUGGCAAGCGUUGUCCGGAUUUAUUGGGUUUAAAGGGUGCGUAGGCGGCCUAUUAAGUCAGUUCUGAAAUAUCCCGGCUUAACCGGGAGGGUGGGAUUGAUACUGAUGGGCUUGAGUGGAAUCGAGGUAGGCGGAAUUGACGGUGUAGCGGUGAAAUGCUUAGAUAUCGUCAAGAACACCGAUAGUGUAGACAGCUUACUAGACUUCAACUGACGCUGAGGCACGAAAGCGUGGGGAGCGAACAGG